rnacentral:rRNA from 1 species
AUUGAACGCUGGCGGCAUGCUUUACACAUGCAAGUCGAACGGCAGCGCGGGGCAACCUGGCGGCGAGUGGCGAACGGGUGAGUAAUAUAUCGGAACGUACCCAAGAGUGGGGGAUAACGUAGCGAAAGUUACGCUAAUACCGCAUACGAUCUAAGGAUGAAAGUGGGGGAUCGCAAGACCUCAUGCUCCUGGAGCGGCCGAUAUCUGAUUAGCUAGUUGGUGAGGUAAAGGCUCACCAAGGCGACGAUCAGUAGCUGGUCUGAGAGGACGACCAGCCACACUGGAACUGAGACACGGUCCAGACUCCUACGGGAGGCAGCAGUGGGGAAUUUUGGACAGUGGGCGCAAGCCUGAUCCAGCAAUGCCGCGUGAGUGAAGAAGGCCUUCGGGUUGUAAAGCUCUUUUGUCAGGGAAGAAACGGUAGAGGCUAAUAUCCUUUGCUAAUGACGGUACCUGAAGAAUAAGCACCGGCUAACUACGU